rnacentral:tRNA from 2 species
GGGGGCGUAGCUCAGCUGGUAGAGCGCCUGCAUGGCAUGCAGGAGGUCCGUGGGUUCGAGUCCCAUCGCCUCCA